rnacentral:lncRNA from 1 species
AGACCACCACGAUGACUUGUAAGCAACUCACUAUACUUUAAUAUCGAACUAUCUUAGUUUCUAACUUAGUGACGGAAGAAUACUAGGUGCGGUCAAGUACAUAUAAAGACAGUGUGUGAGUCAAGAUGGAAUUGACCCCUCUGAAUUGAUAGGAGAUAUGCAUCAGUGUAUUUCAAUUUAGCAAAACCUGAAAGGAAUAUGUCCU